UACGGAGGGGGCGAGUGUUGUUCGGAAUUACUGGGCGUAAAGGGCGCGCAGGCGGCUUGGCAAGUCGAGUGUGAAAUCCCUUGGCUUAACUAAGGAAUGGCGCUCGAAACUACCUCGCUAGAGGGCGGGAGAGGGAAGUGGAACUCUCGGUGUAGGGGUGAAAUCUGUAGAUAUCGAGAGGAACACCGGGUGGCGAAGGCGGCUUCCUGGCCCGCAUCUGACGCUGAGGCACGAAAGCGUGGGGAGCGAACGGG
rnacentral:rRNA from 1 species